rnacentral:rRNA from 1 species
GAUACCACUCUUGUAAUGAUAAAAUCCUAACUUUGAACCGUUAUCCGGUCAGAGAACAGUUUCAGGUGGGCAGUUUGACUGGGGCGGUCGCCUCCUAAAAGGUAACGGAGGCGUGCAAAGGUUCCCUCAGGCUGGUUGGACAUCAGUCGUAGAGUGUAAAGGCAUGAGGGAGCUUGACUGCGAGACCAACAAGUCGAGCAGAGACGAAAGUCGGCCUUAGUGAUCCGGCGCUUCCGAGUGGAAGGGGCGUCACUCAACGGAUAAAAGUUACUCUAGGGAUAACA